rnacentral:rRNA from 1 species
AGCAGGGAAUAUUGCACAAUGGACGGAAGUCUGAUGCAGCGACGCCGCGUGAGUGAAGAAGGCCUUCGGGUUGUAAAACUCUUUUGAGGGGGAAGAGCGAGGACGGUACCCCUGGAAUAAGCGUCGGCUAACUACGUGCCAGCAGCCGCGGUAAGACGUAGGACGCGAGCGUUAUCCGGAUUUACUGGGCGUAAAGCGUCUGUAGGCGGAUGUGUAAGUUGGGCGUGAAAGCUCCCGGGCUUAACCCGGAGAGGCCGUUCAAUACUGCAUAACUUGAGGGUGUCAGAGGGGAGCGGAAUUCCCGGUGUAGCGGUAAAAUGCGCAGAGAUCGGGAGGAACACCAGUGGCGGAGGCGGUUCCCUGGGGCACACCUGACGCUGAGAGACGAAAGCUAGGGGAGCGAACAGGAUUAGAGACCCUGGUAGUCCUAGCCCUAAACGAUGAAUGCUAGGUGUGGGAUCGAAUGGUUCCGUGCCGGAGCGAACGCGAUAAGCAUUCCGCCUGGGGAGUACGGCCGCAAGGUUAAAACUCAAACGAAUUGACGGGGCCCCGCACAAGCAGCGGAGCGUGUGGUUUAAUUCGAUGCUACACGAAGAACCUUACCUGGGUUUGACAUGUAGGUGGUAGUGAAUCGAAAGGUGAACGACCCUUCGGGGAGCCUACACAGGUGCUGCAUGGCUGUCGUCAGCUCGUGCCGUGAGGUGUCGGGUUAAGUCCCGUAACGAGCGCAACCCUUGCUCCUAGUUACAAGUGUCUAGGGGGACUGCCGGCGGAAAGCCGGAGGAAGGUGGGGAUGACGUCAAGUCAGCAUGGCCCUUAUAUCCAGGGCUACACACACGCUACAAUGGUCGGUACAAAGGGCAGCGAAACCGCGAGGCGGAGCGAAUCCGAGAAAAGCCGAUCGUAGUUCGGAUAGCAGGCUGCAACCCGCCUGCUUGAAGCUGGAGUUGCUAGUAACCGCGCGUCAGCCAUAGCGCGGUGAAUACGUUCCCNGGGGCUUGUACACACCGCCCGUCACGUCAUGGGAGUCGGUAACGCCUGAAGCCGGUAGUCUAACUGGAAACAGGAGACGCUGUCGAGGGCGGGACUGGCAACUGGGACGAAGUCGU